rnacentral:rRNA from 1 species
GGAUUAGAUACCCUGGUAGUCCACGCCGUAAACGAUGAUCACUAGUUGUUUGCAAUAGACCGUAAGCGACAAAGCGAAAGCAUUAAGUGAUCCACCUGGGGAGUACGUUGGCAACAAUGAAACUCAAAGGAAUUGACGGGGGCCCGCACAAGCGGAGGAACAUGUGGUUUAAUUCGAUGAUACGCGAGGAACCUUACCUGGACUUAAAUGUAGGUUGACAGCUUUAGAGAUAGAGUUUUCUUCGGACAAUUUACAAGGUGCUGCAUGGUUGUCGUCAGCUCGUGCCG